UGGUGAAACACGGGUUCAAACCAGGGACAUUUAGAUCUUCAGUUUAAAGCUUUCGCAGCUGAGCUCUUCC